GACAGCUGUAGGAGAAGCAGAGAAUGAAACGGAGCAAACCAGACCACGCGGAGUUAAUCAGCAAGAGAAACGAGUGAACUUAAGGACUCUUCUGAACAAACUGUAUUUUACAAAGAGUUACAAGGAGUAACUGGUCGAAGUUUUGUCAAGGAUUGUCAAGGAUUUAGAGGUUUUGUUUUCCUAUUCUCCGGUUUUUUUUAAAUUUACCCUGACAAACUGAGAGGGCGAAAGGGAGAAAGAAGCUGAGUUUAUUGUGCAAACCGCCGAUGGACAUACAGACGGACAGAAGACGUGCCACAGACAAACAGAGAGUACAUCGCAGGUGUGCAGAGGAUCGCAUCGCUGAUUAGGAGGACGACUUCUCUCCAUGUUCUUCAAUUCAUCGUACAGAUAAGCACUGAACAAUCAUCACACUACCCGGGUAGAUGGACUUUGGUUUCAAUUUAUUUAGUUUGUUAUUUUGUCAGAGCUCUGAUUUUAUUUUGUUUCUUGUGGAAUUUUCUCUACAAACAGAACUGAUUGAGAGGUCAGGGAAAAUCCGAGUUUUCCAACUUACAGGACAAUAUAAAGGGAAAAGUUGUUUCCCAAUUAAAGGACAAUAUAAGGGAAAGAACAAUUUAACUCUGAAUCCUAACGAACUGAAUCCUACUGGACUAAGGAAGGUUUUGCAUUCACUUGAAGUGUGGUUAUCAUAAACUUUCACAAAAGGUAUGAAACUGCAUAAGGUUAAGUGUUAUUGUUAAAUAAAGGCUGGCUAUAUUUUCAAAACAA